UGCGAUGAACUGGCCGUUUGAGGAAGUACAGAGAUGCACAUGCAACUUUUCCCCAUGCAAGCAGAUUGGAGAAGGAGGUUUCGGACACGUGUAUAAAGCUGUGAUGAGAAACACAGAGUUUGCUGUGAAGAAGCUGAAAGAAGACUCCCAUUUGGACUGGAAUGUCGUGAAGGAAAGUUUCAGGACGGAAGUAGAAAAACUGUCACAAAGCGCAGAAUGGGACUUACUCGCUUGAAAUUUCGAUUGCUCUUUAUGCACCACACCUCUUCAUGACCCAAAAAUGAAAGUCUCCAGCACACCCUCCAAAAUUGUUUUGUGAUACAGACAUCCCAACAUAAUGGACUUUGUUGGCUACAGUAUAGAAGGACAAACUUAUUGUUUAAUAUAUGUUUAUAUGCCAAACGGCUCUUUAGAGGACCGGCUUCGAUGUGAGGUGAGUUAUCACUCUUGCUAGACAAUAUGGGCUCAUUGUUUAGUAUGCUACUUCAAAGAAUAGUUCACUCGGAAUGAAAAUUACGUCAUCAUUUGCUCACCCUCAUGUCGUUCCAAAUGUGUAUGACUUUCUUCUAAGGGAGAUGUUUUGA